rnacentral:rRNA from 1 species
GAUGAACGCUGGCGGCGUGCCUAAUACAUGCAAGUCGAGCGAACAGAUAAGGAGCUUGCUCCUUUGACGUUAGCGGCGGACGGGUGAGUAACACGUGUGUAACCUACCUAUAAGACUGGAAUAACUCCGGGAAACCGGGUCUAAUGCAGGAUAACAUGUUGAACCGCAUGGUUCUACAGUGAAAGGCGGCUUUGCUGUCACUUAUAGAUGGACCCGCGCCGUAUUAGCUAGUUGGUGAGGUAACGGCUCACCAAGGCAACGAUACGUAGCCGACCUGAGAGGGUGAUAGGCGACACUGGAACUGAGACACGGUCCAGACUCCUACGGGAGGCCGCAGUAGGGAAUCUUCCGCAAUGGGCGAAAGCCUGACGGAGCAACGCCGCGUGAGUGAUGACGGUCUUCGGAUCGUAAAACUCUGUUAUUAGGGAAGAACAAAUGCGUAAGUAACUGUGCGCGUAUUGACGGUACCUAAUCAGAAAGCCACGGCUAACUACGUG